AGUAAAGAGAGAUUAUCCAAAAGAAAAUCCUGUCUACUCUGAGGUGAAGACAGGGAAAGCCACUGCAGCCGCUGGACCUGUUGAUGUGACCUAUGCUGAGGUUGACCUCCAAAAGAAGGUCAAAGCCAAGAAGAAGAGAGAAACAGCAACCCCACCUGAGGCAGAACCUGUCUAUUCUCUAGUGAAGCCAUACACAGCCCCCGGUAAGACUUAAUCAACAAUCUAUUGAAAGGGUAUGAAACUAUAUCUAAGUAUGUCCUAAGAAACUGGUGAGAAAUCAUUUCUGAUCACAUUACCUUUUUAUCAUUGUCACGUACGUUAAGGAACGGGACGG